rnacentral:rRNA from 1 species
AUACGUAGGGUGCGAGCGUUGUCCGGAAUGAUUGGGCGUAAAGGGCGCGUAGGCGGCCCGGUAAGUCUGGAGUGAAAGUCCUGUUUUUAAGAUGGGAAUUGCUUUGGAUACUGUCGGGCUUGAGUGCAGGAGAGGUAAGUGGAAUUCCCAGUGUAGCGGUGAAAUGCGUAGAGAUUGGGAGGAACACCAGUGGCGAAGGCGACUUACUGGACUGUAACUGACGCUGAGGCGCGAAAGUGUGGGGAGCAAACAGGAUUAGAUACCCUGGUAGUCCACACGGUAAACGAUGAAUGCUAGGUGUAGGGGGUAUCGACCCAUUCUGUGCCGCAGUCAACACAAUAAGCAUUCCGCCUGGGGAGUACGGCCGCAAGGUUGAAACUCAAAUGAAUUGACGGGG